UGAAACACGGACCAAGGAGUCUAACAUAUGCGCGAGCUAAUGGGUGGAAAACCCAAAGGCGCAAUAAAAGUAAAAGCUGUUUCGGACAGCCAAGGUACGAUCCUAGGAUCCGAGCGAUCAUAGGCGCAGUACCGUCCCAUCCCGACCGCAUAUCGGUAGGGUGGAGAUAGAGUGCAUACGUUGGGACCCGAAAGAUGGUGAACUAUGCCUGAGCAGAGCGAAGCCAGAGGAAACUCUGGUGGAGGUUCGUAGCGGUUCUGACGUGCAAAUCGAUCGUCAGACUUGGGUAUAGGGGCGAAAGACUAAUCGAACCAUCUAGUAGCUGGUUCCCCCUGAAGUUUCCCUCAGGAUAGCUGAUACUCGUUAAAAAACGAAGUUUUAUCCGGUAAAGCGAAUGAUUAGAGGCAUUGGGGACGAAAUGACCUCAACCUAUUCUCAAACUUUAAAUGGGUAAGAAGUCGAGCUUGCUCGAUCGAAGCUCGACAUAAGAAUUCGAGUAUCAGUGGGCCAUUUUUGGUAAGCA
rnacentral:rRNA from 1 species